AACCAGUACUGUGAAGGAAAGGUGAAAAGAACCUCGAACAGAGGAGUGAAACAGACCCUGAAACCAUGCGCCUACAAGCGGUCGGAGCAUGUUAAAAUGUGACGGCGUGCCUUUUGCAUAAUGAACCUACGAGUUACUCUCGCUGGCAAGGUUAAGCGAUUCAGUCGCGUAGCCGAAGCGAAAGCAAGUCCGAACAAGGCGUACAGUCAGCGGGAGUAGACGCGAAACCAAGUGAUCUACCCUUGGUCAGGUUGAAGGUUGGGUAACACCAACUGGAGGACCGCACCGAUAAGCGUUGAAAAGCUUACGGAUGAACUGAGGGUAGGAGUGAAAGGCCAAUCAAACUUGGAGAUAGCUCGUACUCCCCGAAAUGCAUUUAGGUGCAGCCUCGAAGUAAAGUGAUAGAGGUAGAGCGACUGAUAAGAUGCGAGGGCUUCACCGCCUAUCAAGUCUUGACAAACUCCGAAUACUAUCACUUGAUCUUCGGGAGUGAGGGCAUGGGUGCUAAGGUCCAUGUCCGAAAGAGGAACAACUCAGACCACCAGCUAAGGUCCCGAAAUAAGGGCUAAGUUGAAUAAACGAAGUAAAACUGCAAAGACAGCUAGGAUGUUGGCUUGGAAGCAGCCAUUCAUUUAAAGAGUGCGUAACAGCUCACUAGUCGAGGAGUUUUGCAUGGAUAAUAAUCGGGCAUAAGCCCUUUACCGAAGCUGUGGAUGUCGUAAGACAUGGUAGGGGAGCAUUCCGGCGGCGACGAAGGCCGUCCUCGAGGACGACUGGAGCUUUCGGAAAAGCAAAUGUAGGUAUAAGUAACGAUAAAGGGGGCGUGAAACCCCCUCGCCAUAAGACUAAGGAUUCCUGAUCAACGCUAAUCGGAUCAGGGUAAGUCGGGCCCUAAGGCGCAGCCGAACGGCGUAGCCGAUGGAAGAAACGGUAAAGAUUCCGUUACUGGAUAUAGGAGCGAUGUGGAGACGGAGAAGUGACACACCCGCCUGCCGACGGAAGCGCAGGUUAAAGGAAGUAGGUAAACGCCGGGUAGGCAAAUCCGCCUGGCGUGCCGAAGCUGACAGUAUCGAGAGCCCCCGGGCAAUCGAAUAGCGGUGGUAAUCAGGCUCCCAAGAAAAUCCGCUAAGCAUAUUCUAUAUCCACCCGUACCCCAAACGGACACACGUAGUCGGGUAGAAUAUACCAAGGCGCUCGAAAGACUCACGGUUAAGGAACUAGGCAAAUUGACCCUGUAACCUCGGGAAAAAGGGUCCCCAGUAAGAUGGGGCGCAGAGAAUAGGUCCAGGCAACUGUUUAACAAAAACACAGGGCUGUGCAAAAUUUCAAGAUGAAGUAUACAGCCUGACACCUGCCCGGUGCCGGAAGGUUAAGAGGAGAGCUAAUCGCAAGAGAAGGCUUGAAUUGAAGCCCCGGUAAACGGCGGCCGUAACUAUAACGGUCCUAAGGUAGCGAAAUUCCUUGUCGGGUAAGUUCCGACCUGCACGAAUGGUGUAAUGAUCUGGACACUGUCUCAACCGUGACUUCGGUGAAAUUGUAGUAUCGGUGAAGAUGCCGAUUACCCGCAACGGGACGAACAGACCCCGUGAACCUUUACUGCAACUUAGCAUUGCGUUUGGGCAUUUGAUGUGUAGGAUAGUCCGGAGGCUACGAGUCGGCGACGCCAGUCGUCGAGGAGCCGCUGUUGAAAUACGGACCUUCGAAUGUUUGAGCGCUAACUCGCUGUAGCGAGGACACUGUUUGGUGGGUAGUUUGACUGGGGGGGUCGCCUCCAAAAGCGUAACGGAGGCUUCUAAAGGUGCCCUCAGACCGAUUGGUAACCGGUCGCAGAGUGUAAUGGCAUAAGGGCGCUUGACUGAGAGACCCACAAGUCGAUCAGGUAGGAAACUAGAGCAUAGUGAUCCGGUGGUUCCGCAUGGAAGGGCCAUCGCUCAAAGGAUAAAAGGUACUCCGGGGA
rnacentral:rRNA from 1 species